ACGGCCGUACCAUGCUGAAUAUACCGGUUCUCGUUAGAUCACCGAAGUUGACUGGAAAUGCGCGGCCAGCACUACUUGGGUGACCACCUGGGAACACCGCGUGCCGUU